rnacentral:rRNA from 1 species
GCGAGUGUGAGCGAAUCUCAAAAAUAAACGUCUCAGUUCGGAUUGUAGUCUGCAACUCGACUACAUGAAGCUGGAAUCGCUAGUAAUCGCGGAUCAGAAUGCCGCGGUGAAUACGUUCCCGGGUCUUGUACACACCGCCCGUCACACCAUGGGAGUCAGUAACGCCCGAAGCCGGUGACCCAACCAGACUUGGAGGGAGCCGUCGAAGGCGGGACGGAUGACUGGGGUGAAGUCGUAACAAGGUACC